rnacentral:rRNA from 1 species
GACGAACGCUGGCGGCGUGCCUAAUACAUGCAAGUCGAGCGAAUGGAUUAAGAGCUUGUUCUUAUGAAGUUAGCGGCGGACGGGUGAGUAACACGUGGGUAACCUGCCCAUAAGAUUGGGAUAACUCCGGGAAACCGGGGCUAAUACCGGAUAACAUUUUGAACCGCAUGGUUCGAAAUUGAAAGGCGGCUUCGGCUGUCACUUACGGAUGGACCCGCGUCGCAUUAGCUAGUUGGUGAGGUAACGGCUCACCAAGGCAACGAUGCGUAGCCGACCUGAGAGGGUGAUCGGCCACACUGGGACUGAGACACGGCCCAGACUCCUACGGGAGGCAGCAGUAGGGAAUCUUCCGCAAUGGACGAAAGUCUGACGGAGCAACGCCGCGUGAGUGAUGAAGGCUUUCGGGUCGUAAAACUCUGUUGUUAGGGAAGAACAAGUGCUAGUUGAAUAAGCUGGCACCUUGACGGUACCUAACCAGAAAGCCACGGCUAACUACGUGCCAGCAGCCGCCGUAA